ACUAUAUAUGACGGAUUGAAUGGUGAGAUAUUAACUAACUAGUUAGCUAGGAACUAGUUGGUAAAAUAUUUUUAUAAAUAAUUAAAUUAUUUUUGUUGACUAGUCAUUCUCUGCCUUCAUUGUUGAUGCAUCAAUCUUCUCUUCCUUUCACCAGCUAGCAUCGAGCCUACCGCCUUAAAGGGGGACCUCCUAUCUUGUUCCUCCUAUCUUGUUCCUCCUAUCUUUUGGAAAUCUUACCUUGAAAAACAACUCUAGUGACAGAAUGAUGCCUAUUCCAACCCGCAUAUCAAAUGACAGAACGACUGACUGUCUCUCUCACCACAAGAACGAGGACGGCAAGGGGCUGUAAGCAAUCCCAAGAAGAUGGUGCGAACUUCUCCCAUCAAGACCUUUUCUACCGCAGAAAUAUGAGAAACAGUCCACCUAGGUUGAAUAGCAGAAGAUAGUAGAAAGGGAUAAUAAUAGUAAUGAUAUUAGUAGAUAGCAAGUAGGUAGUAGCUAAUCACUAAGAGCAGAAAGAGAAGAGAAGAGGAAAGAAGAUGCGCGAAGUACAGGACAUGUGUAUAUAUAUGUAUAUACAUAGAAACAGUGGUAGUGAGAACAUAGUAACAAAAGAAAAGAAUAAAUGAAG
rnacentral:sRNA from 2 species